ensembl:lncRNA
UCAUGAGCCAGUCUCCACAUUCUCAAGUAUACUAUAGGUCUUUGAGAUGAAGUCUUUAAAACUCCUGGAGGAUUCCCUACAAUUUUCUCUAAGGUAUGCAGUCUGUCACAGAGACUCACAGAAAAAGAAGCAGGACAGACCAAAGAAGCAGAAAUCAUCAGAACGUACAAAUGGUUGAAGAUCAAUAAGAUGACACCAUGACUCUACUAUAUCUAUAUCUAUUUGACAAAUGUGAAUGCUAACAUUGGUUGUGGAGCCAAUACAUGAUGAAAAAAUGUUGGAUUUUCAAUACAAUGACCUGAUUUUCCAUUCUGCCUCUGACACUUUAGUUUACAAAUGAAACUUUAGUUCAGUCACUUUACCUCUUCAGUUUCCUUAUCUGUAAAAUGAAGAGCAGAAUAGGUUUCCUCUAAGGACUCAGGGGUGUGGAAAGGAAACAAGACUGAUAGUUUGUGGGGGAAGGGCCCAACUGGGAGUGGCAACUGGGUCUUGUGACUAGCACUUCCUUCCUGCCGGGGAGGACUGGCUUCUGGGUAUUGGAGGGGAGAGGAGCUUGUUCAGCCCAGUCUGGAGUGGCAUGCUCUUCUUGGUUCAGCCCGAAGACACAGGCUUCUGAAGGUUAGAAUUGUUCUUGUUUGCUUUCUGUCUAUUGCUAAGAUUCUGAAUUAGAACAACGAGAGUAGACGGGAGUGGAACAAACCCUUCGCCAGCCUCUAGGGCCUGGCCCUAUACUCUGAAGCUAAGGAAAAACUCCAAUUCCAACUGGAUUAUUAAACUUUAUAUUAUUUGAAUUCGCAGUCAGAUAAGUGGACUAUCUUUU